rnacentral:rRNA from 1 species
UACGUAGGUGGCAAGCGUUGUCCGGAUUUACUGGGCGUAAAGAGCGCGCAGGCGGUCGUUCAAGUCGCGUGUGAAAGCCCCCGGCUCAACUGGGGAGGGUCACGCGAUACUGAUCGACUCGAAGGCAGGAGAGGGUAGUGGAAUUCCCGGUGUAGUGGUGAAAUGCGUAGAUAUCGGGAGGAACACCAGUGGCGAAGGCGACUACCUGGGCUGUGUCUUGACGCUGAGGCGCGAAAGCUAGGGGAGCAAACGGG